CUGAGCUUGGAGGUCUCUUCCAACCUGGUUGAUGCUGUCAUUCUAAACCCAUACCAGACAAGGUGCUCCUGUGUCAUGAAAUGCCAAUCUGAACCCAGACCUGGGACUAGCUGGAAAUUACAUCCCACUUCCAGCCCCUCUUUCCCAUCCAUCCUUCCCAAACUUUGUACUUCUGUGUGAGCUCCACGCCAGAAAGUUCCACGGAUCAGUUCCAUUUCCUCCCAGGUCCCCUCGACCCUGAGUUUUGUUUGGGGAAUGCUCCUCCUUUCACACUGCAGACAGAAACCCUCUCCUGUUUCCCCUCCUUUGCUGCACGGGAUUUAGCUGAUUGAUUUGCCGGUGUGCCUCAUUACGCAGCCGGGAGCUUCAAUCCUGCCUUGAUAACACCCAGCUGGUACCCAAGGCUGAUCUGUUUGGGUCUUUCUCAGCGUGGCAGGAUGGGAGGAGAUGCAAAGCCAUGGCAGACACGGUCACACCUUUCUCUUCUGCUGCUCGCCCUGCUCUCGGAUUGCAGUUUCUGUUUGCAGACACCAGCCCGGCGUAAAAACCUGCUGGACUUGCCUGAAGGAUCUCCAUGGCACUGACUCCCUUCAGACACGAAAGAGAUCAUUUCAUCCAGAGAGUGGAGUCCUUCAGGCUUGGUUUUCUGCUCUGCUGGUGGCUGUGGCCAAGCUGUAUACAAUUCCCCAAGACCCUUAUGCAAACAUGGAACAAAGAGGCCAAGCUAUUAAUAUGUCAGAGGCAAUGGGAGAACCCCAGGAUGUGUACUGUGAGCAG